AUUAAACGCUGGCGGCAUGCCUUACACAUGCAAGUCGAACGGCAGCACGGGGGCAACCCUGGUGGCGAGUGGCGGACGGGUGAGUAAAGCAUCGGAACGUAUCCUGGAGUGGGGGAUAACGUAGCGAAAGUUACGCUAAUACCGCAUAUUCUGUGAGCAGGAAAGCAGGGGAUCGCAAGACCUUGCGCUCUGGGAGCGGCCGAUGUCGGAUUAGCUAGUUGGUGGGGUAAAGGCCUACCAAGGCGACGAUCCGUAGCGGGUCUGAGAGGAUGAUCCGCCACACUGGGACUGAGACACGGCCCAGACUCCUACGGGAGGCAGCAGUGGGGGAAUUUUGGACAAUGGGCGGAAGCCUGAUCCAGCCAUGCCGCGUGAGUGAAGAAGGCCUCGG
rnacentral:rRNA from 1 species